AAUACAAUUCAAAAAGAGAAUAUCCAAAAGAAUACUUAUAUACUUAAUAUUUGAAAAUCAAAGAUAUUUUUGCUAAAAUUGUACUUACCUGGCCAAGGAGAUCGACCAUCUUUUUACGGGUCGAUCGAUUGUUGAGUAUGUGAUCGAUCCGAAAAUACUCUGCAGUUUAAUUAAAUAUCUAAAACAUUUAUUCCAACACUCAACAGAUAGUUUUGCUAAAUAUGAUAAUUAGAUAGCCA
rnacentral:lncRNA from 1 species